GAUGAACGCUGGCGGCGUGCCUAAUACAUGCAAGUCGAACGCAUUGUGGUUGAAAUGAUAUGAAGAACUUGUUCAGAUUUGAUUUUCAACAUUGCAAUGAGUGGCGAACGGGUGAGUAACACGUGGGAAACCUACCUCUUAGCAGGGGAUAACAUUUGGAAACAAAUGCUAAUACCGUAUAAUAAUUAAAACCGCAUGGUUUUAGUUUAAAAGAUGGUCUUGCUAUCACUAAGAGAUGGUCCCGCGGUGUAUUAGUAGUUGGUGAGGUAAUGGCUCACCAAGACAAUGAUACAUAGCCGAGUUGAGAGACUGACCGGCACAAUGGGACUGAGACACGGCCCAUACUCCUACGGGAGGCAGCAGUAGGGAU
rnacentral:rRNA from 1 species